rnacentral:rRNA from 1 species
UACGUAGGGGGCAAGCGUUAUCCGGAUUUACUGGGUGUAAAGGGGGCGCAGACGGCUGUGUAAGUCUGAAGUGAAAGCCCGCGGCUCAACUGCGGAACUGCUUUGGAAACUACCCAGCUUGAGUAUCGGAGGGGUAAGCGGAAUUCCUGGUGUAGCGGUGAAAUGCGUAGAUAUCAGGAGGAACACCGGUGGCGAAGGCGGCUUACUGGACGAUAACUGACGUUGAGGCCCGAAAGCGUGGGGAG